UACGAAGGGGGCUAGCGUUGCUCGGAAUCACUGGGCGUAAAGCGCACGUAGGCGGCUUUUUAAGUCAGAGGUGAAAUCCUGGAGCUCAACUCCAGAACUGCCUUUGAUACUGGAGAGCUUGAGUCCGGGAGAGGUGAGUGGAACUGCGAGUGUAGAGGUGAAAUUCGUAGAUAUUCGGAAGAACACCAGUGGCGAAGGCGACUUACUGGACACAUAUUGACGCUGCGGUGCGAAAGCGUGGGGAGCAAACAGG
rnacentral:rRNA from 1 species